GAUCCAGAAUAUAAAAUAUACCUAUAACACCACAAAUUAUUAUUCUAAAUAAACUACCUGAAC
rnacentral:tRNA from 1 species